rnacentral:rRNA from 1 species
UACGGGGGGAGCAAGCGUUGUUCGGAUUUACUGGGCGUAAAGGGCGCGUAGGCGGCGCAACAAGUCACUUGUGAAAUCUCCGGGCUUAACCCGGAGCGGUCAAGUGAUACUGUCGUGCUAGAGUGCGGAAGGGGCUACUGGAAUUCUCGGUGUAGCGGUGAAAUGCGUAGAUAUCGAGAGGAACACCUAUGGCGAAGGCAGCUCGCUGGGACGUUACUGACGCUGAGACGCGAAAGCGUGGGGAGCAAACAGG